rnacentral:rRNA from 1 species
GAUGAACGCUGGCGGCGUGCCUAAUACAUGCAAGUCGAGCGAACGGACGAGAAGCUUGCUUCUCUGAUGUUAGCGGCGGACGGGUGAGUAACACGUGGUUAACCUACCUAUAAGACUGGGAUAACUUCGGGAAACCGGAUCUAAUACCGGAUAAUAUUUUGAACCGCAUUGUUCAAAAGUGAAAGACGGUCUUGCUGUCACUUAUAGAUGGAUCCGCGCUGCAUUAGCUAGUUGGUAAGGUAACGGCUUACCAAGGCAACGAUGCAUAGCCGACCUGAGAGGGUGAUCGGUCACACUGGAACUGAGACACGGUCCAGACUCCUACGGGAGGCAGCAGUAGGGAAUCUUCCGCAAUGGGCGAAAGCCUGACGGAGCAACGCCGCGUGAGUGAUGAAGGUCUUCGGAUCGUAAAACUCUGUUAUUAGGGAAGAACAUAUGUGUAAGUAACUGUGCACAUCUUGACGGUACCUAAUCAGAAAGCCACGGCUAACUACGUG